GACGUAGGGCGCGAGCGUUGUCCGGAUUUAUUGGGCGUAAAGAGCUCGUAGGCGGCUUGUUGCGUCGGCUGUGAAAACCCAUGGCUCAACCGUGGGCUUGCAGCCGAUACGGGCAGGCUAGAGUUCGGUAGGGGAGACUGGAAUUCCUGGUGUAGCGGUGAAAUGCGCAGAUAUCAGGAGGAACACCGGUGGCGAAGGCGGGUCUCUGGGCCAAUAUUGACGCUGAGGAGCGAAAGCGUGGGGAGCGAACAGG
rnacentral:rRNA from 1 species